GAAAGCCAAUCUCAGUUCGGAUUGUAGGCUGCAACUCGCCUACAUGAAGUUGGAAUCGCUAGUAAUCGCGAAUCAGAAUGUCGCGGUGAAUACGUUCCCGGGUCUUGUACACACCGCCCGUCACACCACGAGAGUUUACAACACCCGAAGUCAGUGGCCCUAACCGCAAGGAGGGAGCUGCCUAAGGUGGGGGUAGAUGAUUGGGGUGAAGUCGUAACAAGGUAUC
rnacentral:rRNA from 1 species